UGCUCGACUUCCUUGUAUUUGGGAAAGUGUGGUGGUGGGUGCGCGCUCGCGGCGGAGGGUAAACAUUCGACAGUCCCCGCUCUGAGAGGGAGGGACAGAGAGCGAACUGUCAGAUCCGAGCGGAGCGGGCGGGCGAGAGAGGGAGGGAGAGGGAAAGAGAGAGGGAGAGCGCGCAAACCAGGGCGCAGAGCGAGCUCCCGCGGCAACUCGGCUCCAGCACGGCCAGCGCCAGCGCCGCCGUCGGUGCACCCUCGGAGCCGUGCAUCCUGCCCACUGGAGUUGGUUGUGUAUCAAGGAUCCCCUAUAUGCACACACACACCUCCACCUCCACCAAUGCACUCUUCUUCCUCCUCCUCCUCCAGACCUCUGCUGGGAAAAAAAUAAAACACCAACCCCAACCUUCAGCAGCAAGGUAACAGAGAAACUCGACCUCGUUUUUCUCCUGUUCAAUUUUUUCCUUGUUAUAUUUGUUUCCUCAUUUCUGCCCAAAGGGAAAGAUGUCGCAUCAGACUGUGACUGUUGCGAGGAGAAUGAAAAAGGACUCUUGUUUCAGAGGCAACCAAGAGCUCGGGCAAUAGCAACUUCAGAGAAAUGCACCAUCGCAAGAAGUUUUCCUAGGAG
rnacentral:lncRNA from 1 species